CCGAGGAGAGGCAGCACAGUCGUACCUUUGUAAGGGUCCAGGGCAGGGGGGAACCCCCCCCCGGCGGAUCUCUUCUCCAGCAACACCUGAACAGCUUUAGAGUAAGCGGGGCGGCUCGGGUACUCGAGAAGCUGCACCUGAUCGACCUUAAUUCUGCAGUCACAGAUGCUCACAAACUCUUUGCUCUCCAGGGCCGUCACUUCGAAAUUCAUCCCCGCAGCGGUGCCACGGUAGGGCAAGUCGACGUUGACGGCACCCGAUCCCUUGCGAGAGCCGACGGACACGAGGUAGUCAUCGGCUUCCCGCUUUCCUUUCGGCUGUAUGAAGUAGCCCUGCGGAAGAUCCCCGCCGGCCUUCUCUUGCAGAUUACUAACGGCUGCCGGAGCGGUCUCCGCGGACAACCAUGAAUCGGCCGUCAGCACCAGCACGAUGUAUUGUUUGAACGUAGAAGAUGGGGUCUUCAGGACGACCGCCAGAAAGUGAUCAUCCGCCUGCCACAGACCAGACCGACCGCGCCCUCGGUGAGCGGUAAAAAAAUCUCCUCUACGCCAUUAUUUCUCAUCCGACCGAUUCAGAAAGAAUAGGGCAAUUGCAGCAACUCUACCACAGACGACGAAGGAGCAACGAGGGCACGGGAAAAGAAAAAAAGAGCACCAUCUGGAGGAUAAUGCUUACCGCCUGUGGCCGGACAACCACGACUCUUCCAGGUGAGAGGAAGUGCGGAGCGUAUUUCAUCACUGCUUCUGACAGGCUCGCUCGAAGUUCCUCGGCCUCCGAGGCCAAGUCGAAGUACUCCUCAAUCGCGGGCUCACCCUUUAUGCAUCUGCCAGGCAAAGAGAAUGGUCGUGUUCAUGAGCAGCGCGUCUAUCGAAACCCGUUUCAGAGAGCCCAGUGCUCUCCCAGAGCCAGAAUCAGAGCUGAUGAUCCCAAUCCCAUCCCUCCAGCAGUGACCUCCUUCAGACUGGUCCGAGG
rnacentral:lncRNA from 1 species